rnacentral:sRNA from 1 species
UAUCCUUAAAGCCCUUUGUUUAUGUUAUCUUUCUUAUCAAUGUUGUAAAUCUUUGCUCAAAAACUUUGUAUCUUUUUCCCCUUUGGAGGUUGAAUGUGAAACAUCCCGACCCAUUUUUUUUAAACAUAAUUAAAUAUUCCCAUAAAUAUCUAAUUAAACCAACCAAUAAAGCAACAAUUAAACUGCAAGUCAAAAAUACUAUUUUAUGAAUAAACAAAUAAUUCAACCAACAAAACCAAGAAUGACUAAAAAUCCUAACACAACCCUAACCGGUUCCAAUAACCAAAACAUAAAAGUAAACCAAACGAGUUCCUAGAUCAUCCUCUCUUCCUUGCCAUGAUUUUACGAUCACACUUUAUCUUUACCUGCAUCAACAAUACAAUGAGAUGCGUAAGUAUUAUCAUAAAUACUUAGUGAGGCGAUUCUCCCAUCUACGAGCUAUACACACAAGCAAAUAAAAGGGUAUAAUCACAAAUACAACACAAACAAACCAGUCAUCGAAUAAUUCACUCAAAACACAUUUACCACACCUACAUAUCAUCACACAAAACAAAACAUACAACCCAAUCGCUCAGAUAAGCUCAUGGUCACGCACUCACCUUAACAAAAUUAUUCUAACAACAAUUAAACCCAGGAGAGACUCUCCUUGCGUCUGAAACAGUCCAGAAACGUCCUACAACAUGUCACAACCAAAAGCAACCUUUGAAGCAAACUGUACAUGAAAAACAGAAACAAACAGUCUUAAAGACGAAACCCUUAUGACCAACUCCCGGUCAUCUCGUAAACACACCUCUUUCUUAGGUUGUUUACUCAAACUUUCCAAAAAUAGACAAGUCCUUUCUGGGAAACUUUCCAUUUUUGAGAACCGCACAACACAUUCUUAAAUAAGACAACUCAAGUCAAAUCUAAGAAAAA